rnacentral:tRNA from 1 species
GCGCGAGUAGCUCAGUGGUAGAGCGCUCGAUUGCAGCACUGGUUCAAUCCCGGUCCCGCGCU